UUCCAGGCCUGCCGUACGCGCCGUUGCUAUGUCUGCUGCUGCCGUGCCCGCUGACGAUGACGCCUGCCGCCCUGCUCGAUGCCAUGCAUGCUGCCAUGCAUACUGCUGCCUCGCUUGCCCGUCUCGGAUUGGAACUGCCGCCGCAAGCUCUACCGCCUCCGCCCCCGCUGCUGAUGAUUUGGAAGUUAGACUAAACCAUUUACAACUGAUCAGUGUUGCUUAUGUUUGUGAUGAAGUGCAAGAUAGAAAAGUUAUAAAUAUGUUCUCCCUCCUCGAUUCGGGCUGCCCGAAGAGUUUUCUACGUCAAUCUGAAAGGCUCAUUAGCCCAUAAGCUCAGGCAGUGUAUGAAUAUAAUUCACCGAUUUAAAAAUAGCAUCAAUUUUCGAAAAGUUUCUGUGUCCAAUUUUGUGACCAAAGCGGUAACCAUGCCGUAAAAGGGGAGUUUAGUAGCUGUUCCCUUGCUGCAUCUGUAGGUAGCUAGAAACGGGGAAAUGGAGGUGGAGGCGCAUAAGAUAUCUUUGGAAGAUUCACCCACCAUGGUUCAAAAAACCAAAAAUUAUUUUUUCUUCAGAAUGGCCAACCAAAGAACAUCGAAGAAGCCUCUGAAGAUGAGCUUUAUAUAGGCAGAAUCGGUACAGAAGCGACUCUUCGCUCAGAUGGCACACAGCACACAAUUGGAAGACUGUUCUAACAGAAAUCGUCUUGAUGAGUCUUUUUUGAGGCCCCUUGACGAUUAAAAAACGACUAAUCUCCUGGGCGAUCAAACUGGGCGAGACUCAUAAACGACCCUCCCAUAUGCUCAAAGUAUGAUUGGUUUGAAAUGCAAAAACGAAAUGCAAAGCAAUCGCCAAAUGAGCAUGCAGGUGAUUAAAAUAUGAUCAGCUGUAAAGAGUAAGCUACGACGAA